UUUGGCGGCAUGGCUAAGACAUGCAAGUCGAACGCGAAAGUGGGAGCAUCCCCCGGGUAGAGUGGCGAAAGGGCGAAUACAUUCCUACGUGCCUCGAGGUCAGUGUACAGCCCAGUGAAACCUGGAGUAAUACCUGAUGUGGUGCCUCAUCUUAGAGUGGAGCAUCAAAGGCUUGCCGCCUUGAGAGCGGGGAAUGUCCUAUCAGCUAGUUGGUGAGGUAACGGCUCACCAAGGCGAAGACGGGUAGCGGGUGUGAGAGCAUGACCCGCCGCAUCGGGACUGAGUCACUGCCCGGACUCCUACGGGAGGCUGCAGUAACGAAUCUUCCGCAAUGCGCGAAAGCGUGACGGAGCGAUGCCGCGUGCAGGAUGAAGCCCUUCGGGGUGUAAACUGCUGUCAGGGUUUAGAAACACAAUGAUCAAACCCAAAGGAAGAGACGACUAACUCUGUGCCAGCAGUCGCGGUACAUACAGAAGGUCUCGGAGCGUAUAAACGGGAUUCCAAAGGGGGCUUCAAGGGGUACGUAGAGCAG
rnacentral:rRNA from 1 species